rnacentral:rRNA from 1 species
UACGUAGGGGGCAAGCGUUGUCCGGAAUUAUUGGGCGUAAAGGGCUCGUAGGCGGUUUGUCGCGUCGGGAGUGAAAAUCCAGGGCUUAACUCUGGACUGGCUUCCGAUACGGGCAGACUAGAGGUAUGCAGGGGAGAACGGAAUUCCUGGUGUAGCGGUGAAAUGCGCAGAUAUCAGGAGGAACACCGGUGGCGAAGGCGGGUCUCUGGGCCGAUACUGACGCUGAGGAGCGAAAGCGUGGGGAGCGAACAGG